GAUGUGGGGUCGGAACCUCGACACCAGCCCGCACACCGGCCGAGCAGGGAAAGCAUCUGCGUCCCUCCCGAGGUAUUGUCCGCUCUGGGAUUGCCGCUUCGAGUCUGCGGGAGGUCGCCCAGGGAGGUCGCCCAGGGCCGGAGCCCAAUGACAGUCCCAAUGACAGUCCCGAGCCCUGACGGCGCGGGGGUCCGCGGAGGUUGCCCCCUACCCUCACGGUUUUGUCCUACAAAAGGGCCCUCGGUGAGAAGAGGUGUUUGCACCCCCCAUUUAAGGCACAGACCUUUCCGCUGAUUACCCGAUGUGGGACUAAACUGGGAACCCCAUCCCACAACNNNNNNNNNNNNNNNNNNNNACCGGGGCCCUUCCUCUAGCGCCAUCUGAUGUGGGGUCGGAACCCCGACACCAGCCCGCACACCGGCCGAGCAGGGAAAGCAUCUGCGUCCCUCCCGAGGUAUUGUCCGCUCUGGGAUUGCCGCUUCGAGUCUGCGGGAGGUCGCCCAGGGCCGGAGCCCAAUGACAGUCCCGAGCCCUGACGGCGCGGGGGUCCGCGGAGGUUGCCCCCUACCCUCACGGUUUUGUCCUAUAAAAGGGCCCUCGGUGAGAAGAGGUGUUUGCACCCCCCAUUUAAGGCACAGACCUUUCCGCUGAUUACCCGAUGUGGGACUAAACUG
rnacentral:lncRNA from 1 species